rnacentral:lncRNA from 1 species
AACGGUUAUGAAAGAUGAAGAAGAAGAGAGUUUGGGUUUUUUGGGGAUUGGAUGUGAGCCGUUGAUGUCUGUGAUUGAACGGUGGUGAUUGGUGUUGUUGGAAGCCAUUGAAUUAAUUAACGGUGGUGAUUAUUGAGAAUUUUUUUUGUUGAGAAAUGGAAGGAAGAAAAGAACAUAAAGAAAGAAAGAAAGAGAAGAGAAGAGAUCUGAAAGUUGAUAAUGAGGAAGUGAGUGAGUGAGUGGAAUUGAAAAGGCUACAGUUAGUUAGGUUAGGGGGAAAUGAGGACAAGUGGGUGGGAUAAGCACGUAAUCACUAAACUACAAAACUCACUCACCUCCAAUCCCGUUAAAUUCAAUAGUUCCCAAAAAUUCAUAUUAUUUUUCUGGGUUCAAUACUAAAA